rfam:Mycosphaerella eumusae strain CBS 114824 scaffold26, whole genome shotgun sequence.
UCGAAUGAUGUUAUAAUUUGCGAUUGAUGGCUACGAACCGGAGAUUCACGCCUGUUUCUCAUAACGGCGUAGACCAUAUGCGAGUCAUUCUUACAUAUACUGACU